AGCUAGUUCUCUCUUUUUUUCUUGGUGGCUUACAAUUCAUUACAAGUCAUUUUCAAGUGAUUAUUUCGUGAUCGUGACAGACUUAUCUUUUUCUAUGUUCUACAGAUGAUAAACUAUAGUAUCUGAAGCCUACAUGAGAUUAUUUUUUUAAUCAGUGUCCUGGCUUAUGGUAAUUCAGAUUUCAACAUGAUCUUGAAGCAACAAAGUACGCAACAACUAAUGGAGAUAAUGUGAUUAAGGCAUUAAUUCGGGCUGUUAUCCCUAAUUGAAGGGACGAUUCAGUGUCAUUUUUUACUACCUCCCUAGACUUUAUCUCAUAUUUCCAUUGUCAUCCCAAAUCAUCAAAUGGUGUUGUGACAGAAAAGCAUGGGCUGGAGCUGCUUACAACCUGAUGCUCUACAUGUUAGCAAGCCAUGUACUGGGAGCUUGCUGGUAUCUUCUAUCAAUUGAGAGGCAAGAAGCGUGCUGGAGAUAUGUGUGCAGUCUUGAGAAGCCGUCUGUGAUUAUGGAUAUUUUGACCGCCAGAGAGUAAAGGAUCCACAAAGAAAUGCCUGUUCAAUUCCAUCAAUAUUACAAGGCAAUGUGACUGUAACAACAAUAACCAUCCGUUUGGUAUUUAUGGCGAUACUGUGGCAGUUAGUGUGGCAUCUGCUUUGUUUUUCAACAAGUAUUUCUACUGCUAUACUAGACCUUGACUGAAUAUUUAAACAAAUGCUUCAUUUUAAUAUUCGUGCCAAUAUAUCUAAAAAUGCUUCAUUAUCAUCAAGCAUUCUAACCGAGAACCUAAUUAGCAAACCAAAACCUUUGAUUGACAAAUUUCACAGGGAAAAAUCAGGCAGUGUGGAAAACUUUAAUCUGGAAUUGCAAAUUUACCGGCCUGGUAGGAGCAAACUAAUAUCUAAUUCUGUAAUUUUGACCU